GCGCGAAAACUUUACAAUGCGGGCAACCGCGAUAAGGGGACCUCGAGUGCUGGGUUACAAACCUGGCUGUUGGGCUGCCUAAAAAGCAGUCUAUAGCAAGGGCCGGGCAAGACCGGUGCCAGCCGCCGCGGUAACACCGGCGGCUCGAGUGGUAACCGCUAUUAUUGGGUCUAAAGGGUCUGUAGCCGGCCGACUAAGUCUCUUGGGAAAUCUGGCAUCUCAAGUGUCAGGCUGCCAGGGGAUACUGGUCGGCUUGGGACCGGGAGAGGUGAGAGGUACCUCGGGGGUAGGGGUGAAAUCUUGUAAUCCUCGAGGGACCACCAGUGGCGAAGGCGUCUCACCAGAACGGAUCCGACGGCAAGGGACGAAAGCUAGGGGCACGAACCGGAUUAGAUACCCGGGUAGUCCUAGCCGUAAACGAUACUCGCUAGGUGUCGGCCACGGUGCGACCGUGGUCGGUGCCGUAGGGAAGCCGUGAAGCGAGCCACCUGGGAAGUACGGCCGCAAGGCUGAAACCUAAAGGAAUUGGCGGGGGAGCACCACAACGGGUGGAGCCUGCGGUUUAAUUGGAUUCAACGCCGGAAAGCUUACCGGGGGCGACAGCAACAUGAAGGUCAGGCUGAAGACCUUACCGGAUUCGCU
rnacentral:rRNA from 1 species